rnacentral:rRNA from 1 species
AGGGCAUACGGUGGAUGCCUAGGCGCCAAGAGCCGAAGAAGGACGCGGUAAGCUGCGAAAAGCCACGGGGAACUGCAAGCAAGUAUUGAUCCGUGGAUAUCCGAAUGGGGAAACCCGGCCAUCGUCAUGGAUGGUCACCCGCAAGGGAGGGAACCUGGGGAACUGAAACAUCUAAGUACCCGGAGGAAGAGAAAUCAAACGAGAUGCCCACAGUAGCGGCGAGCGAAGAGGGCAGAGCCCAAACCGAGAAGCUCCGGCUUUUCGGGGUUGAGGACCGGCAGAAUCGAAGUCAGGCCUAGUCGAAUUACCUGGAAAGGUAAGCGAGAGAGGGUAAAAGCCCCGUAGACGAAAGGCAGAGCAGAGAGGCCGAGAUCCAGAGUACCACGAAGCACGAGGAAUUUUGUGGGAAGCAGGGGGGACCACCCUCCAAGGCUAAAAACUACUUGGCGACCGAUAGCGCAUAGUACCGUGAGGGAAAGGUGAAAAGAACCCCGGGAGGGGAGUGAAAUAGUACCUGAAACCGUAUGUCUACAAGCAGUCGAAGCGAAAGCGACGGCGUGCCUAUUGAAGAAUGAACCAACGAGUUAUCUGCACUAGCGAGGUUAAGUGGAAGACACGGAGCCGCAGCGAAAGCGAGUCUUAAGAGGGCGCUAGUUAGUGUAGGUAGACCCGAAACCGCAGUGAUCUACCCAUGUCCAGGUUGAAGCGCAGGUAAAAUUGCGUGGAGGACCGAACCGGUGAGCGUUGAAAAGCUUUCGGAUGAGAUGUGGGUAGGGGUGAAAUUCCAAUCGAACGCGGAGAUAGCUGGUUCUCCCCGAAAUAGCUUUAGGGCUAGCCUGAGGUAGUAAGUAUAGGCGGUAGAGCACUGAUCGGGCUAGGGGCCGUAAAGGUUACCGAACCCUGUCAAACUCCGAAUGGAUAUACUGUAGAGCCUUGGAGUCAGACUACGAGUGAUAAGAUCCGUGGUCAAAAGGGAAACAGCCCAGACCACCAGCUAAGGUCCCCAAUGUCGUACUAAGUGGAAAAGGAUGUGGGGUUUCAUAAACAACCAGGAUGUUGGCUCAGAAGCAGCCACCAUUUAAAGAGUGCGUAAUAGCUCACUGGUCGAGAGACCCUGCGCCGAAGAUUCCCGGGGCUAAAGUACGAAACCGAAGCUGUGGCUGUAUACGUAAAGUAUACGGGGUAGGGGAGCGUUCCCAUAGGGUAGAAGUCGAACUGGAAGGUUCGGUGGACUUGUGGGAAGUGAGAAUGUUGGUAUGAGUAGCGAAAAGAAAGGUGAGAAUCCUUUCCACCGAAAGCAUAAGGAUUCCUGAGCAACGAUCGUCGUCUCAGGGUAAGUCGGGACCUAAUCCGAGGCAGAGAGCGUAGGAGAUGGACAACUGGUUGAUAUUCCAGUACCGGUAGUAAUUGUUUGAGCAAUGGAGUGACACAGAAGGGCAGGCAAGCAUGCGAAUGGAAGAGCAUGUGUAAGCGUGUAGGGUGGUGCAUAGGCAAAUCCGUGCACUGAAAGCCUGAGGCGUGAUGCGGAGUGAGCAGAGAUGCGAGCGAAGUUGUUGACCCCACACUGUCGAGAAAAGCUUCUAGUGAGAGAGCUACCGCCCGUACCGUAAACCGACACAGGUAUGCGGGGAGAGAAUCCUAAGGUGCGCGGGAGAACCCUCGUUAAGGAACUCGGCAAAAUGUACCCGUAACUUCGGGAUAAGGGUAGCCACUGUUGUGAAGUCCCAUGCGGAUGGAGCAUAGAGUGGUCGCAGAGAAGAGGCCCAAGCGACUGUUUACCAUAAACACAGGUGCCUGCUAAAGCGAAAGCUGACGUAUAGGUGCUGACACCUGCCCAGUGCCGGAAGGUUAAGGAAGGAUGUUCGGAUUAGUCCAAAGCAUUCGACUGAAGCCCCGGUGAACGGCGGCCGUAACUAUAACGGUCCUAAGGUAGCGAAAUUCCUUGUCGGGUAAGUUCCGACCCGCACGAAAGGUGUAACGAUUUGGGCACUGUCUCAACGAGGGACCCGGUGAAAUUGAAAUACCUGUGAAGAUGCAGGUUACCCGCGACUGGACAGAAAGACCCCAUGGAGCUUUACUGUAACCUGACAUUGGGUUUUGAUACAUUACGUACAGGAUAGGUGGGAGGCUUGGAAAGUUGGACGCUAGUCUGACUGGAGCCGACGUUGGGAUACCACCCUUGAUGUAUUGAAAUUCUAACCGCGAGAGUAACGAAAUCCGGGACAGUGUCAGGCGGGCAGUUUGACUGGGGCGGUCGCCUC